UGGUUCGUUCAGCCAUUCCUAUGGGCAAAAUUAAUGGGGAAAGAAUAGUGUUAUGGAAUAAACGCUUGAAAAUAAGGUCUGAGGUUAACACAUGCUUAUGAGAUCUUAUACGUUUUGUUCUAUGAGAUCAUAUCAGUCAGUUAACAUGACCUUUAUACAUUAUUAAGCAUUUUUGUAUUACAUAAAUGCUUAAAAAUUCACAAAAUGUGACAUUAGCUGACGAAGAUUAUCUCAUAGUACAAAACGUAUAAGAUCUCCUAAACCUGUCUUCUACAGACCUCAUCUUCUGCGUUUAUCCCAAAACUACACAAGCUCCAUUCAUUUUCAAUAGACUUUGGCCAACAAGCCAUGGCGGAGUAUGACUACCUUAGUGCCUACAAAAAGACGCCAUUACUAUUGUUCGCUGCCAGCCGUGGGUCUAUUGCCUACUUUCGGUUUCACAUUCACCAGGUUUUUGCGCAAGUGCAUGAGAGGAAAAUCAGGAAGUAUGUACGUCAAGCCUACUACUAGGGUGCGGUUCCGGUGGUUAGAAAAGUCUGUUUAUUUUCUCAACUAUACAUAAAAGUUAGGACAAACUGAUCGUAGAUCUGCAAUAAACCCACGGUUUGCAACGAACAAUAAGGUUGGAACUACAAAUAUUUUAGCAGGAUAAACAAGUGUGAAGUUCAUCAAGAAAGUUACAUCAUACUUUUGUUCUACCCUUGGCAGCGAUGGCAGCUCAGCAGCUGCAAGGGUUGAGGACCAAAUUCAUUGAAAAGGUGUCAAAGACCGUUCUAGAUCAACUGAUGGAUGACCUCUUAGAAGACAUGGUGCUGAACGAUGGAGAAAUCGAGGAGAUAAAGGAGAACAACAUGCAGAGGGCGGAUAAGGCUCGCCAACUUAUUGAUAGUGUGCGCAGGAAAGGCAACACAGCCAGUGAGAAGUUUCUCAUACGACUCCAGGAAAGAGACAAAAAUGUCUACAGUGAGCUUAACCCCCAGGUGUAGCCAAUAUGGAUGAGAGAAAAAGUGUCUGACUCUUGACCCUCUCUUGAAAGACCUGGAGGUGCCACCCAGAGAGCCUCUUACGUUCCUUUUGACCAAGGCUUCAUAAUUAAAUGUCUUAAUGUACGGUAUUUUUUAAACACAUGAAAUAUCUAUAUUUUUCACAAGAAUGUUUAAUAUAGAAUAAAUAUAUAUACAAACUAAAUAUAUAUAUUUUUACAAUGUUUUUCUACUGAAUUUUUUAAAUCUAAUAAAUACUUUUAUUUCCUGUUACAUUUUUAAAAAUAAUUCUUACCUUAUAUCCUAGCAUCAAAUAUUAGAUGAAUCGGCUAGGUGAGCCUCAAACAUAACUGAUUACAGCGAAUGCCACACGAACAAAGCACUUCCCUUACAUGCUUCUUGCAGUGGAAAAACAAAAUACAUACCUUAUUAGAUUAGAUUAGAUAGCAUCAUCAGUGUGUGCAGUGAAGUGGGUUGAGGCUGAUCCCCUCAAAGACCUGCUGGGUAUAGCGACUCUGUACCGGAUGAUUUCCCACCAAGGCCUUCUGUGUAUUUGUUGACCUAAUUAUUCAGUGCAGACAACAUCCCUGUAGAGGAAAUGUUCCCCUGUGUUCCUAGCCAGAUGGAAUGUCCUGUAAUCUCUUUAAAAACAGUAAGCGUAUCAAACAAUGAAUUAACAAACUAGUAAAUAGCAAAAAAAAUGAUACCAUAGGUGAUCAAAUAUGUGUGUAUUUUCACUUAGCAUUGCACAGUAACUGCAGAUCUAACAUUGAAUUCAUCUGACAGUGCUCUAUUCCAAUGAAUAGUUAGUUCCCAACAGUUCAAUAAAAAUGAGUUGCUGCACACUGCA